CUGGAGCUGUGAGACAGAAACUCUACUGGUAUGCACAGUGGAUUAGUGGUUACUACGUUUGCCUUGCACUGCCAGGAGUUGGGGGUUUGAAUCCCAUCUCCGUCCUGUGUGAGCAGAGUUUGCAGGUUCUCCCUGCACUUCAGGAGAUUCCCCAGGGUACUCUGGUUUCCUCCUCCUGUCCGUGGACAUGCAUGUGAAGAAGACAAGUUAAACUGUUACAACAUCGUAUCUGAAAGAAAAUGACUCGGGCUCGAACUGAUACGGUAAAACCGACGACAUUAUUAACUAUGUUUAUAAUUGCUUUAGAGGCCUUGGAAGCUGAAGCUCGUGAUUACGGUAAGAGGCGUUAAAUUUCUGACACACACAAAGUUUUUGCCCACUCACA
ensembl:lncRNA